rnacentral:rRNA from 1 species
AUUGAACGCUGGCGGCAGGCCUAACACAUGCAAGUCGAGCGGAUGAUGGGAGCUUGCUCCUGGAUUCAGCGGCGGACGGGUGAGUAAUGCCUAGGUAUCUGCCUGGUAGUGGGGGACAACGUUUCGAAAGGAACGCUAAUACCGCAUACGUCCUACGGGAGAAAGCAGGGGACCUUCGGGCCUUGCGCUAUCAGAUGAGCCUAGGUCGGAUUAGCUUGUUGGUGAGGUAAUGGCUCACCAAGGCGACGAUCCGUAACUGGUCUGAGAGGAUGAUCAGUCACACUGGAACUGAGACACGGCCCAGACUCCUACGGGAGGCAGCAGUGGGGAAUAUUGGACAAUGGGCGAAAGCCUGAUCCAGCCAUGCCGCGUGUGUGAAGAAGGUCUUCGGAUUGUAAAGCACUUUAAGUUGGGAGGAAGGGUUGUAGAUUAAUACUCUGCAAUUUUGACGUUACCGACAGAAUAAGCACCGGCUAACUCUGUGCCAGCAGCCGCCGUAAGAC